rnacentral:rRNA from 2 species
GUGCGAGACCGAUAGCGAACAAGUACCGUGAGGGAAAGAUGAAAAGAACUUUGAAAAGAGAGUUAAAGAGUACCUGAAACUGCUGAAAGGGAAGCGAAUCGUAUCCAGUGUCUAUAAUCUGCGGCAUAUUUCAUUGGCGGCGGUGCGCGUGCUUUUGCGUCGGAAGCGGCUUUUGUUGCUCUGUGCUUUUGCUGUGCGUGGUGUUGCUGGUGCCCUGUGUUGCGGUGGGACGUCAGAGUCAGUUUGUAUGCUGCGGGAAAUGGCUGCCGAGGAGGUAGGUCGAGAUUUCGGUCUUGGCUGUUAUAUCUUGGUGGUUUGUUGUCGUGGUUGAGACUGAGGUGCCUACAAUGUGCUUUUGAGUGCGCCGGGUUCUCAUUUGGUGGACUGUUUGGAUAGCUUGCUAUGCUUGUGGUUUUUUCAUCGGGUGAUUGAGUCUGGUGGUAACUUGUUGCUGUUCGGGACUUUGAA